rnacentral:lncRNA from 1 species
CUUGAAAUCACCCACCUGCCAAACUCUGCUGUGGCAACUACAAGUGAACAUGCAAAGAGUUGUCUGUGACACUAAAGGACAGCAUUAUAGGACAUAAAGGAGCCCUGAUAGAUGUUUACAGCUACUGAAGAAUGCAGGUUGUAAAAGUGAACACUGGGGGGAAGACUAGGUAUGCUGUUGUUACAGGUGAAUUUUUAUUGAGUCCCAAUUUAGGUUCAGGAGAUACCUGUCGGUUCCCUUGAGCCCAGAGUCCCAGUCUAGUUUCCUGUUACUCUACCUCUGAGGUCACAAAGGCAUAGUGACAAAAGCUUGAGAGGCAGAAUAGCUCCCUUAGCUUAUGGAUUGGAGUCUGUUCCUGAGGAAGAAGGUGUAGAUCUUGGAGCAGGAAUAUGAUUCUGGGAGUGAGUGUUGCUGGAUUUAUAACAUUAGUAUUUAGAGCUAAUUAUGUCUGCUCCUCCCUUGCCCCUUUAUCACGGAACCCUUUUGUUCUGCCCUUAGAAACCGGUCUAUAAGAAGAAGGAUAUUUGGGCGAGUAUGGUGGCACACACCUCUAAUCACAGAUCUCUGGAGGCAUGAGCAAUGAGGCAAGAAGAUCAUGAGUUGGAAGCCAGCCAGAGCUCCAUGACAGGCAAUACCUGUCUCAAUAUUCUGAAGAAUGGCAUCUGUCUACAGAGAAAGAAAGAGAUGUAUGCAAGCCUGAGGAUUCUGUGGGAAUCACUUUGAUUCGUGGUGGGAUUGGAUGUAUCACAGAGACCCUACUACACUCAAGAGCUUCUGAAGAGGACGAGCCAUAGCCACACACCCUGUCUACUCUGUAAGUAUAUCUACUGUGGAGCAGUGAUGAUAACACCUAAGGGCCUUCUCCCCUUUCAGACAUACAGAUUUCCUCAGCACUUUUAAUUUAACC